AGAGUUUGAUCCUGGCUCAGAAUCAACGCUGGCGGCGUGCCUAACACAUGCAAGUCGAACGAGAAAGUGGAGCAAUCCAUGAGUACAGUGGCGACCGGGUGAGUAACACGUGAUCAACCUGCCCUCGAGUGGGGAACAACUCCGGGAACCGGGGCUAAUACCGCAUAACAUCCUCGGAUCGGAAGAACUGGGGAUCAAAG
rnacentral:rRNA from 1 species